CACGUAGGCACCAAGCGUUGUCCGGAUUUAUUGGGCGUAAAGAGCUCGUAGGCGGUUCGGUAAGUCGGGUGUGAAAACUCUGGGCUUAACCCGGAGAGGCCACUCGAUACUGCUGAACUUGAGUACGGUAGGGGAGUGGGGAAUUCCUGGUGUAGCGGUGAAAUGCGCAGAUAUCAGGAGGAACACCGGUGGCGAAGGCGCCACUCUGGGCCGAAACUGACGCUGAGGAGCGAAAGCGUGGGUAGCAAACAGG
rnacentral:rRNA from 1 species